UUAAAUUCAAGUCAACAGCUGCCAAAGAACUUUCCGUGAGUCGAGGACACUACCAAGCAUGGAAGGAUUAGAGAGAAGUCCAACCAAGCCCAUGACACUUGCCUGGAGGCCACUUCUGUACCAAUCAUCUCUGUUAGUGACACAUCUUCUUUCUUUGGUUUUUGACCUGUCAAGGCCAAUCCUCAGAGAAUCCUAAUGGCUGGAGAAUGUACUGGGUUUCUGAAAGACAAGAGUUGGGCUCCAACCAAAGAUGAAUUGGCUCAACCUGUGGGAGCCAUGAACUAGCUUGACGUGAAGCUUCGGGUCAGUGAGGAUUGUCUACAGGAGGACUUUGUGACAAGUACACUAUUUACCAAGGUAGUGAGGGGAGUGUACAGUCUCCCUGAAGGUUGCCAAGAAUUUUAGGUUGUUUCCCAAUCUGCAGGCACU
rnacentral:lncRNA from 1 species